AGAGUUUGAUCCUGGCUCAGGAUAAACGCUGGCGGCGUGCCUAAAACAUGCAAGUCGUACGGGCAUCUUCGGAUGUCAGUGGCGGACGGCUGAGUAACACGUGGGUGACCUGCCCGAGCGCGGGGGACAACCGCCCGAAAGGGUGGCUAAUACCGCAGACCUGGCGCAUUCGGUUGCGUCAGUAAACCCGAUGAGGGGCGUUCGGAGGGGCCCGCGGCCGAUUAGCUGGCUGGUGGGGUGACGGCCUACCAGGGCGACGAUCGGUAGCUGGUCUGAGAGGAUGAUCAGCCAGACUGGGACUGCGACACGGCCCAGACUCCUACGGGAGGCAGCAGUUAGGAAUUUUGGGCAAUGGGGGCAACCCUGACCCAGCAACGCCGCGUGGGUGACGAAGGCCUUCGGGUCGUAAAGCCCUUUUCCGGGGGACGAUGGUGACGGUACCUCGGGAAUCAGCCCCGGCUAACUACGCGCCAGCAGCCGCGGUAAUACGUAGGGGGCGAGCGUUGUCCGGAUUCAUUGGGCGUAAAGCGCUCGCAGGCGGUCGGCCGCGUCGCGCGUGAAGGCCCCCGGCUCAACUGGGGGUGGUCGCGCGAUACGGGUCGGCUGGAGGUAGGUAGGGGGACGCGGAAUUCCCGGUGUAGUGGUGGAAUGCGUAGAGAUCGGGAGGAACACCGGCGGCGAAGGCGGCGUCCUGGACCUGGCCUGACGCUCAGGAGCGAAAGCGUGGGGAGCGAUCCGGAUUAGAUACCCCGGUAGUCC
rnacentral:rRNA from 1 species